CAGCCGUAAACGAUGUGCGUUAGGUGUGUCGGUAACCACGCGUUACUGAUGCGCCGAAGAGAAAUCGUGAAACGCACCACCUGGGAAGUACGGUCGCAAGGCUGAAACUUAAAGGAAUUGGCGGGGGAGCACCACAACAGGUGGAGCCUGCGGUUUAAUUUGGAUUCAACGCCGUAAAACUACACCAGGGAAGACUGUUACAUGAAAGCCGAGUUGAAGACUCUGCUAGAUUUUCAGAGAGGUGGUGCAUGGCGUCAGUGACU
rnacentral:rRNA from 1 species